GGAGGCACAACCAGUUAUUGUAGUUAAAGGAGGCACAACCAGUUAUUGUAUCUAAAGGAGGCACAACCAGUUAUUGUAGUUAAAGGAGGCACAACCAGUUAUUGUAGUUAAAGGAGGCACAACCAGUUAUUGUAGUUAAAGGAGGCACAACCAGUUAUUGUAGUUAAAGGAGGCACAACCAGUUAUUGUAUCUAAAGGUGGCACAACCAGUUAUUGUAUCUAAAGGAGGCACAACCAGUUAUUGUAGUUAAAGGAGGCACAACCAGUUAUUGUAUCUAAAGGAGACACAACCAGUUAUUGUAUCUAAAGGAGGCACAACCAGUUAUUGUAGUUAAAGGAGGCACAACCAGUUAUUGUAGUUAAAGGAGGCACAACCAGUUAUUGUAGUUAAAGGAGGCACAACCAGUUAUUGUAUCUAAAGGUGGCACAACCAGUUAUUGUAUCUAAAGGAGGCACAACCAGUUAUUGUAGUUAAAGGAGGCACAACCAGUUAUUGUAUCUAAAGGAGGCACAACCAGUUAUUGUAGUUAAAGGAGACACAACCAGUUAUUGUAGUUAAAGGAGGCACAACCAGUUAUUGUAUCUAAAGGAGGCACAACCAGUUAUUGUAGUUAAAG
ensembl:lncRNA